UCCCAUGUAGCUCAGUUGGUUAGAGCGUGCGGCUGUUAACCGUAAGGACAGUGACCGCAAUGUCGUGUGUUCGAGUCACACCAUGGGAG
rnacentral:tRNA from 1 species